rnacentral:lncRNA from 1 species
AUAUAAUGAAGUUGCUAAUCUCUUUGGGAAGACGAUGGAUCGCAACCGAAUUAAAAGAAUUCAGAGAAUUCAAAACCUAGAUUUGUGGGAGUUCUUUUGCAGGAAAAAGGCUCAGCUCAAGAAAAAAAGAGGUGUGCCUCAGAUUAAUGAACAAAUGCUGUUUCAUGGUACCAGCAGUGAAUUUGUGGAAGCAAUCUGCAUUCAUAACUUUGAUUGGAGAAUAAAUGGUAUACAUGGUGCUGUCUUUGGAAAAGGAAGGUUUGCUCUUCAGUCAUCUAGCCACUAAAUGUUAAUUAUCUGAUACUUUUGAAACAGAUAUGAAAAAAAGUGGCCUCCAUAUAAAAAGACAUACUGACUUCAAGGUUGGUUUUUGUUGUUUUGUUUUUGCCUGUUUCUUGUAGUCUUGUUUGUUAAAAGUUGAUAUCAUUGAUGUUUUAACACAUAGGGGUGAAAGAUACCAUUCAAAAUGGAAUCAGCUGAGUCUCAACUAAUGUGGUCAUUGAGAUCUUUAAAGUUUACGUGUGUGUUAUCAGGAUAAAUGAUUUUAGUUUAAAUAGACUUAUUCGUAUAAAUGUUGAAAAAAAAUACAGA